GUUGACGUUCCUCUGAUGUAUUCGAUAUUUAUUUUUUUUUAAAUUUCCAUAAAUUCUCAACCUUCUUUCCCUCACAAUUGUCCCUUUUGCAUUUUUCUUUUUGGUUUCUUUUAUUCACAUAUUUAUAAUUUUGUUCCAAGAUGUAAUAAUUUCCAUCAUAAAUUAAUUUACGCGUACUUCUAUUUCAGAUAGGAAGUUCUUAACAUCUAAGCUGAUUGUUCCUUUAUAAUGAAAACUCUAAGCUGAUUGUUCCUUUAACAUCUAAGCUGAUUGUUCCAACAGCAUUCUGACAUCAGCAUAUGAAAGUAUUGAAUCUGAUAUUUUAUUGUGUUUUCUGUUUUAGCAGUUACAGUCAAUCCUUAUUUCACAUAUCGACCUGAAUAUUAAUUUCCAAUAGCCUUAGUAGAUUUUUGUUUAGUAUUGUUAUGUGGUUAGGCCUUCAAAUAUUUGUCCAUCUCGUAUUUGUUCCAUCUUUCCCAUAUGACGACAUUGAUAUAUUGCUGAGGAUAUUCUCCAGUUGAGUUCCAGAUUUGAUUAAUUUCCAGAGUCACCAUUUACAGAGGACACUCACACCACUCUUUCAAGUUUUUAUGAAUUGCUUCCAUGCCCAGGUAUUUAGUUUUAUCCUCUCCUGAUCUUUUAUGCUAUUCAUUCUCAUAUGAUAAACUUUUGCUAACCUUGAAUACAUUCUUGAAUCAUGCGUAUCUAUUGAAAGGACAUCAAAAUGUUGCUGCAAUGAAUUAUGCAUAACUGGGUCAUAGAUAUGAAAACUCUGAUGGAUGUAGUGUUAUAUGUGGGGUUCAAACAGAACUUGAUUUGGCUAAAACUAUGAUGCUUUGCACAGGUUCAUAGAAAAUGGCUUAUGGUGAUGAUAUUCAGUCCCUUGUUUGUGACAAUGGAACUGGAAUGGUGAAGGCUGGUUUUGCCGGUGAUGAUGCUCCUGCAGAUUCGUGAUAAACCUUUCUCUAUUUCCAUUGCCAAAAUCCAACAAUAUGCUUAAAUUGCCAUAGAGGAUGUUGAAAUUGAUGAAGAAGUUGAUGUUAUAGUUUCAGAAUGGAUGGGUUACAUGCUUCUCUAUGAGGUUAAAUCAUACCACAAAGCUACAGCUAUGCUUGUCCGGAACCAUGGAGUAUACAUAGGGGUUGAUUAUUGGAUUAGUGCUAAAACCUUUUAUUGGAUUUAAACUUUUUUUUUUUUUUUAAAGUUUCAGUUUAAACAUUAAUGUAUGAAGUUUUCAAGAAAAUAAUUAUUAAAAUAAAAUCAUAUAUUUUUUUAAUAUUAUAAUUUAAAUUAGCGAUGGAAACAGCGAUGGAAAUCCAUUGGUAAUCAUCAACGGAUAUAAUUUGUAGGUAAUUUUGUCGCUAAAAUAGUGACUGCUUCUUUCAUUGCUAAAUCACUGACGACCUAGUAAUUCGUUGCUAUAUUAGUGGGGGUAUUGCCGACGGAUUUUCUGACUAAUUUAUUUCGUUUGUGAAAGUCAUUAGCGACGGAAUUUAAGGCUUCAGCGACGGAAAAUUCCGUCUCAGAAGCCGCAGUUUUUGGUAGUGUGAGUCUUGCAUUGUUGCUAGUGUCUAUGGUAAUAGGUCAAUACUUCACUUGAUUCUGGUCUCAGAUAAGGUGGGAGUUUUCUUUUAUUGUGCCUUCUUUUAUCAUUGAAUAAUACUCUAAGCUCUUUUUCUUUUACAUCCCAUUGUAGGUAAAGGCAAAGGCUGAGGCAGGAGGCCAUUGAGAAGGUGAUAGAAGUAGCUGCCACUGUGCACCAUUUAUUUGAGAAGGUGAAUGAUCGUUUGGAAGAAGCUGAAGCGAAGUGGAAUGAUGAGAAAUCUGCUUAUAUCAUCAUGCUAGGAGCUCGUUUCAGUGCAUAUUGUAUAUGUUGUUGCUCAAAGGGGAAACAAACCAACUAGCAACAGCCAGUUCUACUCCAACCGCAGAACUUUAUCCCAUUUCGCACACUUUGCCAAGAUAUAAAAUGCUUGGAAGUUUUACAGGAUUCAACUAGUUAGGGUAAUUUCAGUGUUGAUGGUACAAACUCGAUGCAGUUGGAACAGAAAUCUAACUAACCCCAUGAAUGUUUAUUGCAUUAGAAAGCCUUUGAAAAUAGCUUACCUGUUCGUCACCAUUUAUUCCUCCACUAUCUAGAAGAUGAAGACGUGCAUACAUUAACAUAUCAGUAAUUUCUAGUAGGCACAGUGAACCUAGUAGUGCCUGUUCUAGAUAAAGGAAAGGAAAUGGUUAGGGCCUAUUUUCCAGAAUGAGAAAACUGUUCUCGGCAGCAUUUUAGGACAGGAAAACUAUAUCCCAAAUGAGGUUUCAUGGCUUGGGUGGAACCUUGGAAGCUCCAAUCGGAUACCCAGCCAUUUUUGUCAAAGACUCUAAAGUUGGAGACACCUUUCUGAAAAACCUCAGAGAAUACAGUGUCCUAUAAAGAAGUUGCAACCUCGGAUGCUGUAGAAUGUUUUUGAUUUGUUAACAAAGUGAUGUACAGUUUCUCUACAUUUCUC